CCUACGGGAGGCAGCAGUGAGGAAUAUUGGUCAAUGGACGAGAGUCUGAACAAGACAAGUAGCGUGAAGGAUGACUGCCCUAUGGGUUGUAAACUUCUUUUAUAUGGGAAUAAAACGUUCCACGUGUGGGAUUUUGUAUGUACCAUAUGAAUAAGGAUCGGCUAACUCCGUGCCAGCAGCCGCGGUAAUACGGAGGAUCCGAGCGUUAUCCGGAUUUAUUGGGUUUAAAGGGAGCGUAGGUGGGUUGUUAAGUCAGUUGUGAAAGUUUGCGGCUCAACCGUAAAAUUGCAGUUGAAACUGGCAGUCUUGAGUACAGUAGAGGUGGGCGGAAUUCGUGGUGUAGCGGUGAAAUGCUUAGAUAUCACGAAGAACUCCGAUUGCGAAGGCAGUUCACUGGACUGCAACUGACACUGAGGCUCGAAAGUGUGGGUAUCAAACAGGAUUAGAUACCCCAGUAGUC
rnacentral:rRNA from 1 species